rnacentral:lncRNA from 1 species
AUUCAUCAUGUAAUCGAGUUAGUUUUGUUAGGGCCUGAUCCCUAGCAUUAUGUUCUAAGAUUGAUGUUGCUAUGACUUUGACAUGCUUGAUGCUUGUCACUUUGGGCAUGGGUGCCAUGAUUUCAGAUUUGAACCGUUUAUGUUAGCACCAUUAUAUCCAUGUUCUAGAUCCGAUCUUGCAAGUUAUAGUCACCUACUACGUGUUAUGAUCCGGCAACCCUGGAGUGACAAUAGUCUGGACCACUGUCAGUGUCAAAACCCGCAGAUCUCGUGUAGGGGGGCCCAAGCUGUGUGUCUGAGGAUCGAUGGUAACAACGGACAAAGGGACACAAUGUUUACUAGGUUUGGGCCCUCUUAAAGGAGGUAAAACCCUAUGUCCUGAUUGAUUGUAUUUGAUGAGUAUAGGGGUUACAAGAGUUGAUCUACCUCGAGAUUGUAAUGGCUAAACCCUAGCUUGUCUAACCUAUGAGUAUUAUGACGAUGAUAGCCUCUACGGACAAAACCCUCCAGUUUAUAUACACACCAGAGGGGCCUAGGGUUUGUACAAAGUCGGUUCACCAGGGAAGGAAACAAUACAUCCAUACUCUAAUAUUGCCGUCUGGGCACACAGGAGUCCUACCCGUAUACGGAGUAAUUGCCUUUAGCUUUAUCUUCAUGGCCCAUCCCGUCCGACCCACAUCCUUGAGCCGAACACAUGAGGACCCCCGAAACCAGGACUCCCUCAGUAGCCCUCGACUUGCCUUCAACGACGAUGUAGUAUGCCGAUUUAUGUCUUCGGCUUUGCAAGGCGGGUUCCUCACCAUAUUCCGGAUUGAUGAUAGUCCGGCAUCGGUUUCUGAGCCCAGUCUUUAUGAUUCUUCCCUGUCGUCGCCUCGAUUUCCACGCGUUGAGCGAAUGCGAAUGGUCCAUGCUUGUUUACAAUGUAACCCUUUACCAGGCAUGGGUGGCAUCAAUAUAACGAGGUUAGAUCCCCAAAACCACCUCACAUCGCCCAAAGAGCACCGGAGCAAACCACAAAAAAUUUCGAACCACGACAAGCGCUCCUGGCUCCUCCUCGCACCCUCAUGGCCCUCAAGAGGGGGAUUGGUGAAGCUGCUCAGUAUCCCACCUUCAGCUGAGUCAGCUACAGACACAAAGGUAUCUUCCCCCGCGGAUCUAGUUCCUGUGCGGGCAGGAUUAGCUUCCAUGGGUGAUGAUGUGCUAGCAGAGAACUUUCCCAACCCCAGCAAAGAGGAGAGGGUGUGCUUCAUCUCGUUCCUUCUAAGAAGCAUAGGAUUCCCAAUCCACCCCUUUCUUAGGGGUCUAUUGGAGUUUUACGGGAUCCAGCUGCACAAUCUCACACCAGGUUCUAUUCUGCACAUGUCAGGUUUUGUCGCUCUCCGCGAAUUAUUUUUAGGCCGCGAGGCUCAUUUCAAACUAUGGAGAAAGUUCUUUUGCCUCAUCCCUCAUCUUUUGGAGCGUUCGCAUACCCCCAUUUAUCCUGUUUCAUUCAAGGUGGAGGGUCUAUAUUUGAAGUGGGAGGCACCGAAGUAUGGCGCAUAGCCGGAUCUGGUUACCCCAUUGGGACUCCAAAAAGGGGAUCCAAAGAGUAGUCUUCGGAAUGGUUUUACAUCGAGGAUGUUCCCCUCCUGGACCUAGUUAGGCACGGUCUCCCCAAAUUCUCUAGCACUCCUUUGAAAAAGCUGCUCAACUAGCGCCCCAAGUCCGCCAAGCAAGAGGACAGUGCAGAGGUAAUGGGACUAGUCAGCAAGGUCAGACUCCUUGCCCAUUCCAGACUCUCCAUCAUUGAAGUCAUGGCCAUCAUGAUAAAACGAUGCAUCCAGCCUCUCCAAUCCAGAGUAGCCCCUUUAUGGUGUUAUAACGGGGAGGACGAUGCGUCUCAUUAUAGGCGAGAGGGUCCGGAUAACCAAGCCGCUCUGGUUGCCAUGCUAAUCAACCUGUAUAAAGGGGAGGAAGAAGAAUUCACCCGUUUGAAUUGUCGAGAAGGCUUUUCUAUGUACAACCCCAUCGAAUGGGUAAGUCGAUCUUUCAUCAGUAUUUAUUUUUCCCUUAUCCCUAGGUUUUACUGAUCCAACUGCUCUGGUUGUCUUUAAGCAGUCAUGGAGGAAGGUAGUCGAAAACAUCCAUUGCCCCCUCCUCAGCCAGAGGACAAUGUUCGCAACAAAGACCCCAGAUUCCAUGAGGAUCCGAAUAUAUUUGUAGAGUUUGACGAUGGAGUCUAUUACCAGGCAAGCCUUGACAGCUCGUAGGUGGCCAUUAUAGCCGACUACCCCGACCUCUAAGCGUUCAUUAAGGUAAGGUUUUGGAUUUUAUUCUAGAAGGAAGAUACCUUCACUUGCAUCUCAACCACUACACUAAACCAUGUUUUAUAGGAUCAGUGCUCAGCUAGCCGUACCCAAGCACGGGCAGCCAAAAUAAAAACAACACCUUCGCGGGGCGAGCGCGCGAAAUGAAAGGAGACCAAAAGUGCCACUGAAGCCCCUCCAUCACCAAAGAGGUAUAUUCCUUACUUCAUGCCUAGGCAUAAGGCCGAAUUGUCAUCAUCUUCCUCCUAUCAUCUCAAGAGGGGUAUACGGCGAACCGUGCCAAAGAUCCCGGCCAGCCGAGCUGCAGCCAAUCCGGUGCUAACUUCGGCAGCUAGAAUGGGGGCUCGUACGGGGGUGGCGCCGACUCAUCCGCCUCAAGAGGAUUCAGAUAAUGUAUCCAUCAUGAAUUCCAAAGUAGAGAGCGCGAUGAAUCAUCGAUGUCUAAAGGAGACAAUGCGCACUCCGGCUUUUACUGAGCUGCAAUUUGCCGCCCUUAGUACCGUGGAUGCCUAUAUCCGGGCUGCCCGGGAUGGACUCACAGGUGCUGCUCACCUGUUUUCAAAAGAUAUACAGGUAAUAGUUUGUAUAAUUUGAAUAGAUAUGUGCGAGUAGCCCCCGAGACUUAAAGCGGUAAAGACUAACCGAUUUGAGGAUCGAUUAAACCGCAGGUUCUCAAAGAGAAGAACAACGCGCUGUCCCAGGAUCUCAAAGGGAACUGGACACAACUCAAUGCUGCUGUCGCAGAGCUUCAAGAAAUUAGGAGCGCUCCCAUGACUAGGGGCAAAAAGAAAAAAUGGAGGAGAAAGUGAAUAAGCAAGCCAAAGAAAUAAAGAGAUUAAAGGCUCAACUCUUGGAUGCACAGAAGGAGAACCAAAAAUUGAAGGGCGGUAUAUUUGGUAUGACACUUUGAACCAUACGGAGGACUUGCAUAAUCCUAUAAUACGGAAUGUUAUAACGUGGUUCUUGCAGGUCUAUUAACCGGUCAUCACAAAGUGGAAGUGUUCGGGUUCCAAGGUGACAUUCUAAAGCAAUUGUCGAAGGUGCACGAGCAGGCCCGAAAAGCUAUGAAGAGUAUGGUUAAAGAUCUACGGCCAUCUGAUGCCCCUCCUGAAAGUAUGGAGGGGUUGGCGGACCUGUUCAAGGGUGCUCGGUGUCGCUUCGAGUUAUGGAAGACGUCCGCAUGCCGGGUAGGUGCGCGAGAGGCAUGGGCCAUAUGGUGAAGACGCACUACACCGGGCUUGAUCUGAAUCAUAUGGCCCGGUUUGGACCUCAGGGCCAGAUGGAAAGUAAAUUCCUGUAAGCUUGGUAUAUGACCAUGAUGACGGGAAAAUGGCGGGCAUGAGACACGCGUCCACGUCAUUGAUACAUAAUGGAAUUUAAAUGCAUAAAAUAAAAGUAGAAUCAAACAUUGCAGGUACUUUAUUUCCAGAACUCUUACAUUUACAUAAAAGAUCUGUUAAUUACAUCUCCGUAGAGAAAACCCCUGAUUAAGAAUUCCAACAUAUCUAUUACAUAGGAUUACACCACAUGCCUAUUACAAUAUUCUACAAGAGAAAUCCUCCUCGCGGUCGACAAUGAACUCCUGCUUGGUGAUCUUGAAGUUUGGUUCCAUGCAAGUACUCCUCUAUGAUUUCAUGUGUGAUGUUUGGGGAUAUACUUCCUAGCAUGCAACCAUUUGUGUGUGUUCCCCCUCAUGUAUAUGCAGAAUGCAGGUCGAUUUUGGCUACACAUAGUUUUAUCCUACGUUUGGCAUAUAGGAUAUGUUCAUAUUUUCUUUGGGAAUUUUAUAUGACAUCUUUGGUUUUGGUGUCAUGGACAUUUGUGACAUGCCAAUUUUAACAAGUUUUGCAUCAUCACAUUACUACUAUCAUCGCGUAGCACUGAUAUGGUGCCCGCAUGUAGCGUAACGGACUGAAGCUUGCUAACACAAUCUUGAUGCUUUCUAUGGCGCAUGUGACAUGUGCCAUGUUUUGCUGAUUUUGACCUCACACGGUAUCAAAACUAACAACGCGGUGCAAUCAUAUGACACACCCGUAUAGCUUGACCCGAAUGGAGUUUGCAAGUGGAGUUUGCUUAUGAUAUUUUUUAUUUGUUUAAAGCCUAUGUGGGCUACAUGAAAUAUGCCUUAUCAUGUAUUUUGCAUGAAUUUUGUAUGCAUAUGUGGAUGUGGAGUGAACUUAUUUUUUAUUAAGUUCUGCUUUACCUGUACUACUAAUGACACCGCAUGGCACUAAGGUAAUGCCCGCGUGCAGCGUAACCAAGCAAAGGUUUAUGGAGCAAUUAUGGUGUUGCAUGCGUCAUAUGACAUCUAUCAUUUUUGUUUAUGUUUGUACCUUACAUGGUAUUAGCACUAACUCCGCAUAGCGUCAUUUCAUUGGCGCUUGUGUGUAGCACAACCCAAGUAAAGUGAGUUUGUGAUAUCCAUUUGUGAUGAUGCUAAUAGUUUAGGCUCUUAUAGCAUUGGAGUAUGUUUGUAACAUCUUUUAUAUGACUUUGGCCAAAAUAUGUGGCAUGAUUGUUUUAUUUAGAUUUAUCUUACUUGUAUUACUACUAACACCGCGUAACACGAAUAUUGUGUCCGCGUGUAGCACAACCAAGUAAAAUUGGUUUAUGACGUGCAAUUUUGAUGAUGCUAAUAGUUUGGGCUCUUAUAGCGUUGGAGCAUUUCAUGACAUAUUUUAUUUGACUUUGGCCAAAAUAUGUGGCCCGAAUGUUUUGCUUGAUUUUAUCUUACUUGUAUUACUACUAACACCGCGUAGCAUUAAGAUAAUGCCCACGUGUAGCGUAACCAGGUAAGAUUGGUUUUUAUGAUGCAAUUUUGAUGAUGCUAAUAGUUUAGGCUCUUAUAGCGUUGGAGCAUUUUUAAUCCAUAUGAGGGAUUGUCUUGUGACAUGUGGGUUAAUUUCCUACAUGCAAUUGUAUUAUCACCAGUUUUCCUGUAGUCUAAAACAUAUCAUAUAUGGACACGUGACUAAGCGAAACUGGUCGAACAUUUAUAUGAUUUUGCAUUUCAAGUGCAUGAGAGUAUUUAUCAGGUUUCACUUCACUUGUAUUAGUACUAGCAUCAUGUAGCAAUAUCGUGCCCAUGCGUAGCAUAACCAAAUGAAGUAUGUUGAUUUCUUCUUGCUUGUAUUAUCACCAACAUAGCAUAAACUGUACUCAUAUUUUGCAUGGACAUGACAAAGUCUAUGACAACUGUCGGUUCAAGUUUAGCUAUAUAGGACUAAACUAUAUAUAUAUUAUCGUCAAGUUUAUUUGGGACUUUUCCAUAUUGCGAGCGCACUAUGUUUUGCCUAGUGCAAAUCAAUAGAAAAAUCAUCUAUCAAAUAACUUAAUUUGUUUCUAUUCCUAAUUUGUAUCAACAUGGGAUGCAAGACCACCAUAAGACGAAAUAAGAUGGAUGUAAUUUGUUCUUGAGUAAAUUUUGGCCUUGACUUGUAUCAACAUGGAGAUGCAAGAUCACCAUGAGACCAAACCAAGACUGGGCAUAUUUUUAUUUUUGAAUUGUAUCAACAUGAGAUGCAAGAUCACCAUGAGACCAAAACAAAAGUGACUUAAUUUAAUCUUGGUUUGUAUCAACAAAGGAUGCUAGAUCCCGUGAGACCAAACAAGAUGUGCCAUAUGGAGCGACGUAUAACACCACUAUUGUUUGAGACAUAUGAUGCAAGAGGAACGUGUCAACAAGGAAGCAAGGAGGUAGCCAUGAAUUCUAACCUUGCCUUGGCUUUCUUCCCGUACGCGUGAAGUGGUGAUGUGGAUGAGCAACGCCGGCGUGUAGCAGCUUGUGGGCGGUGCAGAUGAUGUGAAGCCGGCGACGUCGACGAUGAGUGGCGCGGACGACGGAGUGUGUGGCCGACGAGGAGCUGCGCGACGAGGACGACGACAAGACGGACGGCCGGCGGCGACGACGACGGCAAGCGGACGGCCGGCGACGACGAAGCUAGCAGCUUUGCAGCAUAUGUAUAUGUGUGAGUGAUGGGCAGGUGAUUGAGUGAGCGAUGGCUUGGUGAAUGAUGAGCGAGCAGCAGCAGCAGCAACGGCGUGUGGAUGGGAGAAAAUGAGCCAUCCAAGAGCAGUCGAGCGGCCUGGUAUUUAUAGGGACGGAGGGAAGCAGUGGAGGGCCGGCUGGACGCGUGCCUGCCCACGUUCUGAUCGUGGGAUCGUGUGAGAUCGUGCAUGGAGUGGGGCUGCUCCCUUUUUCUUUUUAUUUGUUUAAUCGCUAAUCAACUGGCAAGGUCCCAUCAGCCGUUAUGGGCUUAGUUAGGCCAAGUUUUUCUACGACGUGUAGGCCUUGGGCCCAUUGAGCCUAAUUAUUUGAUUAAGCUCUAACUACAUGCAGGCACAAUUUUCUUUCUUUUUCGCGUACCUAUGGUCUCCUGAUUUAGUUAGGAAGCCUUAAUACACGUACGUACAUGCAUGUCUAUGCAUGGACCAAGAGGAAAAGGAAAAAUUCCAUUACGUAUCUGAUUAUAUAGGCCAUGUCAUGUACAUACAUCCUAUAUGUGUAUGUAUAUGUGCACUUUUUACCCAAUAAAUCAUUUUUUUGAAGUUCCAUGAAUCGACCUUCUUAUUGGCUUUCUAUAUCAAAUUAUAUUUUGUGUGCAUCCAUUAAGAUACGACGAUAUUUUGAUGGAGGAACAUAUUGCACCAUGCUUCGACAAUAUUGGUGUCGUCUUUGACGGUGAAAUUUUAGAUCAAUAUCCGUCGGCGACGAUGUGCAUACAUACAGGACAGGACUUUAUGAAUAUUUAUUUAUUUUGUCAUAUUUCAUAAUUGUUGGUUUAAUGUGUGCAUUAUCAACGUUCGAAUAUAUAAUAUGCAUUUUUUGUCGGUCGUCGAUUUGAGCGGUUGAUUAUAUCUUUUAAUUGAUUCUUUCAUUAUAAAAUGGAUUUUUGCCAUUUUGCAUUUAUAUUUUAUGUGGUCUAUGCAUAAUUUUAUCUUGGUCAAAAUCGAUGUCAACAGAUGCCCCUCGAGGUCUGGGUUCGGAAAAAAAUUUGACUUGGACCCAGAGCUCGAAACUUGACAAUCUAUUUCGUGCUUACAAUAUUUCCGUACGUGGCACAUGAUUUGUUUUAGUAUUUUUUUUCAGCAUUUGAUUUUCUAUUCAGAUGCAUCCCAGCAGCUAUACGUGGAUGUGCAUUUUUUUAUCUACACCGUGCAUUUUUUAUUUGAAUUUAGGAUCAGAACUCUUUCUUUUUGGAGCACACGAGUUAACAUUGAGAAUUUAAACUCAUGAAGAUUGGAUCAAAUUUACCAUUUUUGAAACACGCUUAUAGUUAGGCACAUAUAGCAUUGAGCAUUUUUAUGUGUGUUCAGAGUUUCGCAUGGCGCUUGUGGUUUAGGCUCAUAUAGCAUUGGAGCAUUAUAUCUCUUUCUCUUCAUAUAAGGCUACUAGUUUAUACUCGUAUAUCCUGGGAGAUUAUAUUUUCCAUAUGAAGGAUACACAUAUCAUGCUUUUGUAGUCAUGCUGCCAGCGAAUCAUGCUUUGGGUAACAUCGAAGUAUUUUCUACCGAUGUGUUUGCAUGGUGCCAAUAAUCUAUGUUGGAGUAUUUUUUUUGUUCAUUUUGUUGUAACUCUGAUUGUUUGUAGUCAUGGGUCAUUCAAUGGAAUGAUUUCGAUGAGCAACUUUUUCUUCAUGGUUUCCUAUGUCGGUGGCUUUCAGGGCCAAGUCCUCAAAAGCGAUUGGUCACACCCCUUGUAAGUGCCAACACACUUGGUAGGAGACUAUCCACCGACAUCCAUAUUGUGGCAACCUCAAUGAAUUGUUGUUCACACUAAGGCUUAAAUUUUCCACCUAAUAAUAACUUAGAAAGCAAUUUUGUUCAGCUUUUUCUUUGUAUAGGCCAAUUUGGGGAAACAUGCGAAUUUUUUUUGUGUUACAAAAUAUCAAAGAAGGACAUCUUGCAUUUUUUUCGAGUCCUGAUCGAACAUGGUUGUAACUAUUUUUUUGUUCCAAGGACACAAUUAGUCCCGAUGAAAUUUGAACAAUUGUCGAAAGAAUAUAGCUUUGCUACAUGUCGAAUCUUGGUACGCGACAACUAUAUGAGCUGUAUGUUAACAUUCGAUUGGAAAAGGAGUCAAACCACCAUAUGGAGUGUAUGGUUUGCCAUACCUUGGCCAAUUGGCAUGCUAUGUCUCCAUAUAUUGAGUCUUGGCAUUAUGUGUUACGAGCAUUGAUGGGUUUGUCUUCACCCAUUGCAUUUUUAUCCACGUAUGUCCCAUUGCGCCUCAGUUUAUACUCAUGAGGGUGUGGAGUAUUUUUUUUCUUUAUGUGCCCCAGUUUAUACUCUUAAGGGUAUGGAGUACGCUUGACGAUUUCUUUUCUUUGCUUCAUAGUUUAUACUCGUAAGUCGUGGGAGUCUUUAUUUUUUUUGUGGUGUGCCACAGUUUAUACUCUUGAGGGUAUGGAGUAUGCUUGAUGAUUUCUUUUCUUUGAGUCGUAGUUUAUACUCGUAAGUUAUUGGAGUAAUUUUUUUGUGCCCCAGUUUAGACUCAUGAGGGUAUGGAGUAUGUUUGAUGAUUUUUUUCAUCACAGUUUAGACUCAUAGGUUGUUGGAGUAUAUUUGUUUUAAUGCCACAGUUUAUACUCGUGAGGUAUUGGAGUAUUUUCCUUUGUGUGCCCCAGUUNNNNNNNNNNNNNNNNNNNNNNNNNNNNNNNNNNNNNNNNNNNNNNNNNNNNNNNNNNNNNNNNNNNNNNNNNNNNNNNNNNNNNNNNNNNNNNNNNNNNNNNNNNNNNNNNNNNNNNNNNNNNNNNNNNNNNNNNNNNNNNNNNNNNNNNNNNNNNNNNNNNNNNNNNNNNNNNNNNNNNNNNNNNNNNNNNNNNNNNNNNNNNNNNNNNNNNNNNNNNNNNNNNNNNNNNNNNNNNNNNNNNNNNNNNNNNNNNNNNNNNNNNNNNNNNNNNNNNNNNNNNNNNNNNNNNNNNNNNNNNNNNNNNNNNNNNNNNNNNNNNNNNNNNNNNNNNNNNNNNNNNNNNNNNNNNNNNNNNNNNNNNNNNNNNNNNNNNNNNNNNNNNNNNNNNNNNNNNNNNNNNNNNNNNNNNNNNNNNNNNNNNNNNNNNNNNNNNNNNNNNNNNNNNNNNNNNNNNNNNNNNNNNNNNNNNNNNNNNNNNNNNNNNNNNNNNNNNNNNNNNNNNNNNNNNNNNNNNNNNNNNNNNNNNNNNNNNNNNNNNNNNNNNNNNNNNNNNNNNNNNNNNNNNNNNNNNNNNNNNNNNNNNNNNNNNNNNNNNNNNNNNNNNNNNNNNNNNNNNNNNNNNNNNNNNNNNNNNNNNNNNNNNNNNNNNNNNNNNNNNNNNNNNNNNNNNNNNNNNNNNNNNNNNNNNNNNNNNNNNNNNCUUUUGCAUCACAGUUUAGACUUGUAAGUUGUUGGAGUAUAUUUUUUUGGUGCCCCAGUUUAGACUCGUGAGGGUAUGGAGUAUAUAUAUAUUUUAGUUUUUUAGCUAACAUAGUUUAGACUCACAAGUUUUUGGAGAAUAUUUGUUUUUUAUGCCAAAGUUUAUACUCGUGAGGUAUUGGAGUAUGUUUGGUAAAAAAAAAUUGCAUCACAGUUUAGACUCGUAAGUUGUUGGAGUAUAUUUUUCUGGGUUCCCCAGUUUAGACUCGUGAGGGUAUGGAGUGUAUUUUUCUUUCUAUCACAGUUUAGACUCGUAAGUUUAUUGGAGUUUUUUUUGGGUGCCCCAGUUUAGACUCGUGAGGGUAUGGAGUGACUUUUUUUUGUUUGUCACAAUUUUCUUUAAAUAAUGUUGCAACAUUUGUAUUGCGAGCAUUAAUGCAAAGUAUAUGUCAUUUCCCUUCAGAUUCACUUGUCUUCUAUGAGAACAAAAUUAUGAUGAUACAAGAACAUUUUAUUCCCUGCAUCAUCAUAUUAAAAAAAAUGCACCUAGUGAAAUAGUCAUAGCCAUAAUAUAAAGAAACAAUGGUCAUGUACAUUCUUUUCUUUGAUAAAGACUGAACAACCUUUUUCUUACAUAUUUCACGUAGGAACAAACCUUUCAACGAGUUGUAAGAUAACCGGUUAUGUUGGAAUGUCGCCUGUAAACCUCGAAGCUCGCAUAGGCAUCCAAGCAUGCGUACUUGGUCUGGUCAUGAUCCAGGUUGUACUUUUCUCACUGACUGACAGCGAUGCUUUUGUUGUUGUUAAGACUUAUGUUUGCAACCUUCUUUGCUAGCUUCUCCAAUGAAGCCAAAUUGCCUGAUUUUUGGUUAGGAACCUUGAUACCCAGUCCCUGCACAUCAACAGAUUUUCUGAUACCCAAGUUAUAGAACUUGAGUUUUUCUAUGUCAUUGCCAAUGGCCGCACCCGCAAAUUUUACUGUGUCAUUGUCAAGGAAGUUGCGCAAAAGUGGAGGGAUAAAACUCCUGGCCUGAGCCUGGUAUAGCUGGUAAAUUAGGCAAUGCUUGCCCACACAAAGCUGCAAGACAGCAGCACAUUGUGGCUGUUGAUUGGAGAUAGCAACUUGUUGCUCAAGUGGAAGCUUCUUCCGCUCUUUGAUGUGGACAUAUCUAGUGUAUUCACAGUCAAGGCCAACAACACGCCACUUGGCGUGAUUAAGAUACUUUUUCCAGAUGAAUCUGAUGAAGGCAACAAAUGUUGAAGUGUUGCUAGUCACCGUAGUAUGAAUUCUAAUACCACCCUUGCUGAUAUGAAAAAGGCGGUUUGGAUGAUUGUUGUCCACACUCUUGGGGAACUGUACACGGACUUUGCCGACCUUAAUAUUUUGAAGGUUGACAGGGCGAACAUUUCUUUGCUGAGGUUGAUGGCACACCGACUCCAACGAAGUCUGAGAGGAAUCAUAUGCAAUGGGUGUUGAUGAGGACAAGGGACAUGACAAUGUUGAUGUUGGGUUCACAUGACAUGUUUCAUAGCCAUGGGAAUUGGGAUGCUUUUUCUUGCAUUCAAGGGGAAACUUGAGAAUCGUCUCAGAGCAUUCUCCAAAGAAUUUAUUGGUCAGCGGAAGAAUAGGCUCUGAAGCAUCAACUUGGACUUUAUUUUGAACCUUUGACGUCCUUCCAUGCAGAAACUAUGAGGAGGGAAAUAUAAUCAUGGUAUUGCCCCCACUCAUAGGUUGCUCAUAAUGGAGUUUGUCCAUUGUCUUUCCUUUUCCUUCUUUGUCUACCCUCAUACUUCCCCCAAACUUGAGUGGAGAGAAGACUUCCGUUCCUUGGUCAUGUUUUGGUGAUGCAGUCAUAUUAUCCAGAUGCUGAUUUGUUAAAGCCGCACAUGGACCAACUGGCACAUCAAGCCCAAUGUCUCCAAUGCGGAGCGUGACCGACUGUGGCACUUGACCAUCCAUACCUUUGAAUAAAGAAAACUUUAUAUCAGUUUUCUUUGAGUAUAUUUAGCGUACAGAAUGUUUAUAAACUUCAUGUACUUUUAGAAAUUCAUAUGUUGCAAUCCUAUGUUGGAAUUAGAAGAUGGGGGGAGAAAUAUGUCCCACCAGGCGUGCCAGAAUCUGAUGAUGGGAAAAUGGCGGGCAUGAGACACGCGUCCACGUCAUUGAUACAUAAUGAAAUUUAAAUGCAUAAAAUAAAAGUAGAAUCAAACAUUGCAGGUACUUUAUUUCCAGAACUCUUACAUUUACAUAAAAGAUCUGUUAAUUACAUCUCCGUAGAGAAAACCCCUGAUUAAGAAUUCCAACAUAUCUAUUACAUAGGAUUACACCACAUGCCUAUUACAAUAUUCUACAAGAGAAAUCCUCCUCGCGGUCGACAAUGAACUCCUGCUUGGUGAUCUUGAAGUUUGGUUCCAUGCAAGUACUCCUCUAUGAUUUCAUGUGUGAUGUUUGGGGAUAUACUUCCUAGCAUGCAACCAUUUGUGUGUGUUCCCCCUCAUGUAUAUGCAGAAUGCAGGUCGAUUUUGGCUACACAUAGUUUUAUCCUACGUUUGGCAUAUAGGAUAUGUUCAUAUUUUCUUUGGGAAUUUUAUAUGACAUCUUUGGUUUUGGUGUCAUGGACAUUUGUGACAUGCCAAUUUUAACAAGUUUUGCAUCAUCACAUUACUACUAUCAUCGCGUAGCACUGAUAUGGUGCCCGCAUGUAGCGUAACGGACUGAAGCUUGCUAACACAAUCUUGAUGCUUUCUAUGGCGCAUGUGACAUGUGCCAUGUUUUGCUGAUUUUGACCUCACACGGUAUCAAAACUAACAACGCGGUGCAAUCAUAUGACACACCCGUAUAGCUUGACCCGAAUGGAGUUUGCAAGUGGAGUUUGCUUAUGAUAUUUUUUAUUUGUUUAAAGCCUAUGUGGGCUACAUGAAAUAUGCCUUAUCAUGUAUUUUGCAUGAAUUUUGUAUGCAUAUGUGGAUGUGGAGUGAACUUAUUUUUUAUUAAGUUCUGCUUUACCUGUACUACUAAUGACACCGCAUGGCACUAAGGUAAUGCCCGCGUGCAGCGUAACCAAGCAAAGGUUUAUGGAGCAAUUAUGGUGUUGCAUGCGUCAUAUGACAUCUAUCAUUUUUGUUUAUGUUUGUACCUUACAUGGUAUUAGCACUAACUCCGCAUAGCGUCAUUUCAUUGGCGCUUGUGUGUAGCACAACCCAAGUAAAGUGAGUUUGUGAUAUCCAUUUGUGAUGAUGCUAAUAGUUUAGGCUCUUAUAGCAUUGGAGUAUGUUUGUAACAUCUUUUAUAUGACUUUGGCCAAAAUAUGUGGCAUGAUUGUUUUAUUUAGAUUUAUCUUACUUGUAUUACUACUAACACCGCGUAACACGAAUAUUGUGUCCGCGUGUAGCACAACCAAGUAAAAUUGGUUUAUGACGUGCAAUUUUGAUGAUGCUAAUAGUUUGGGCUCUUAUAGCGUUGGAGCAUUUCAUGACAUAUUUUAUUUGACUUUGGCCAAAAUAUGUGGCCCGAAUGUUUUGCUUGAUUUUAUCUUACUUGUAUUACUACUAACACCGCGUAGCAUUAAGAUAAUGCCCACGUGUAGCGUAACCAGGUAAGAUUGGUUUUUAUGAUGCAAUUUUGAUGAUGCUAAUAGUUUAGGCUCUUAUAGCGUUGGAGCAUUUUUAAUCCAUAUGAGGGAUUGUCUUGUGACAUGUGGGUUAAUUUCCUACAUGCAAUUGUAUUAUCACCAGUUUUCCUGUAGUCUAAAACAUAUCAUAUAUGGACACGUGACUAAGCGAAACUGGUCGAACAUUUAUAUGAUUUUGCAUUUCAAGUGCAUGAGAGUAUUUAUCAGGUUUCACUUCACUUGUAUUAGUACUAGCAUCAUGUAGCAAUAUCGUGCCCAUGCGUAGCAUAACCAAAUGAAGUAUGUUGAUUUCUUCUUGCUUGUAUUAUCACCAACAUAGCAUAAACUGUACUCAUAUUUUGCAUGGACAUGACAAAGUCUAUGACAACUGUCGGUUCAAGUUUAGCUAUAUAGGACUAAACUAUAUAUAUAUUAUCGUCAAGUUUAUUUGGGACUUUUCCAUAUUGCGAGCGCACUAUGUUUUGCCUAGUGCAAAUCAAUAGAAAAAUCAUCUAUCAAAUAACUUAAUUUGUUUCUAUUCCUAAUUUGUAUCAACAUGGGAUGCAAGACCACCAUAAGACGAAAUAAGAUGGAUGUAAUUUGUUCUUGAGUAAAUUUUGGCCUUGACUUGUAUCAACAUGGAGAUGCAAGAUCACCAUGAGACCAAACCAAGACUGGGCAUAUUUUUAUUUUUGAAUUGUAUCAACAUGAGAUGCAAGAUCACCAUGAGACCAAAACAAAAGUGACUUAAUUUAAUCUUGGUUUGUAUCAACAAAGGAUGCUAGAUCCCGUGAGACCAAACAAGAUGUGCCAUAUGGAGCAACGUAUAACACCACUAUUGUUUGAGACAUAUGAUGCAAGAGGAACGUGUCAACAAGGAAGCAAGGAGGUAGCCAUGAAUUCUAACCUUGCCUUGGCUUUCUUCCCGUACGCGUGAAGUGGUGAUGUGGAUGAGCAACGCCGGCGUGUAGCAGCUUGUGGGCGGUGCAGAUGAUGUGAAGCCGGCGACGUCGACGAUGAGUGGCGCGGACGACGGAGUGUGUGGCCGACGAGGAGCUGCGCGACGAGGACGACGACAAGACGGACGGCCGGCGGCGACGACGACGGCAAGCGGACGGCCGGCGACGACGAAGCUAGCAGCUUUGCAGCAUAUGUAUAUGUGUGAGUGAUGGGCAGGUGAUUGAGUGAGCGAUGGCUUGGUGAAUGAUGAGCGAGCAGCAGCAGCAGCAACGGCGUGUGGAUGGGAGAAAAUGAGCCAUCCAAGAGCAGUCGAGCGGCCUGGUAUUUAUAGGGACGGAGGGAAGCAGUGGAGGGCCGGCUGGACGCGUGCCUGCCCACGUUCUGAUCGUGGGAUCAUGUGAGAUCGUGCAUGGAGUGGGGCUGCUCCCUUUUUCUUUUUAUUUGUUUAAUCGCUAAUCAACUGGCAAGGUCCCAUCAGCCGUUAUGGGCUUAGUUAGGCCAAGUUUUUCUACGACGUGUAGGCCUUGGGCCCAUUGAGCCUAAUUAUUUGAUUAAGCUCUAACUACAUGCAGGCACAAUUUUCUUUCUUUUUCGCGUACCUAUGGUCUCCUGAUUUAGUUAGGAAGCCUUAAUACACGUACGUACAUGCAUGUCUAUGCAUGGACCAAGAGGAAAAGGAAAAAUUCCAUUACGUAUCUGAUUAUAUAGGCCAUGUCAUGUACAUACAUCCUAUAUGUGUAUGUAUAUGUGCACUUUUUACCCAAUAAAUCAUUUUUUUGAAGUUCCAUGAAUCGACCUUCUUAUUGGCUUUCUAUAUCAAAUUAUAUUUUGUGUGCAUCCAUUAAGAUACGACGAUAUUUUGAUGGAGGAACAUAUUGCACCAUGCUUCGACAAUAUUGGUGUCGUCUUUGACGGUGAAAUUUUAGAUCAAUAUCCGUCGGCGACGAUGUGCAUACAUACAGGACAGGACUUUAUGAAUAUUUAUUUAUUUUGUCAUAUUUCAUAAUUGUUGGUUUAAUGUGUGCAUUAUCAACGUUCGAAUAUAUAAUAUGCAUUUUUUGUCGGUCGUCGAUUUGAGCGGUUGAUUAUAUCUUUUAAUUGAUUCUUUUAUUAUAAAAUGGAUUUUUGCCAUUUUGCAUUUAUAUUUUAUGUGUUCUAUGCAUAAUUUUAUCUUGGUCAAAAUCGAUGUCAACAGACCAAGUGAUGUUUGCGGCAAAAUAUUCGCAAGAAGUCUGUAAGCUAGACAGUCUUAUAAAUGAUGUAGAAAAAGAGUAGGUGUUUGAUUCUAUGUAAAAAUUUACUUUGUCAUCAAACUUUUUAUCUCCGGCCGAACUCGUAGAAAUUUGUCAUUGCAGGCCUUCGGCUUUAACCUCCUAACCAAGAAGUUGGAGUGUUCCCGGAUACCAUAAGUAAUAUUUAGUAUAUCCGGAAACCAGGCAAUCUAGUCGUAACGCUCAAACAGACAAAAUGUGUUUGGGGAGUUAUGUUAUAUUACUGCUUAAUGUAAGAAACAUCUUCCAAGGAAAAUAGUUCCGUUAGGGAUUCCUUUCCUUGGGUCGACAUGCAGAAAUAUGUAUGCUUAGGCUUGUAUUCAAAUUACGGACAGCCUACUCCGUAUUAGUUGCAAACACAAAACAGCCCGUCAUUGCUUGCCGACCAAUUAUUCCCUUAAGAACGCUAGCUUUCGGCUUCACCCGUCUGAGGUACAGGUCUGGAGAACCCGGUUGUAACAAUCAUAGAGGUACUCCCUUUACACCCUAGCCGAACAAUUGGGAAUGUAGGGUAUAAGCACAUGAGCAAGGCAACCCAGCUUGGCAAAAACUCAAGUCAUAGAGGUGCAUAUAAUGGCAAAAGAUGUAUGAAACAAUCAACAUAGACAAUGUAAGCGGUAGGCUUUUAAUAAUAAGCUUCGUUAGAGAAGUCCCCAAGUAUAGUGGGGUGUAUACAUUUAAAGAUGUGUACCCCUAAUAGUGCGGUAGAUCCGAACACUCCCUGGGAUAUAAAAAGGAAAAACAAAGAAGGUGAGGAGGAGGGAAAAUUCUAGUCAAAGUAAAAUAGAAAGAUGCCGAAUUAUGCGUAGAAUCUCCGGAGCCGCGCAAUGUUUCAUGGGUUCGGCUCAAGGUGAUUAUCCGCAACAUUGCGAAGGCGAUAGGCUCCUCCUGUAAGGACUUCAUCUAUGAUGAAGGGCCCCUCCCAUUUUCAUUUGAGCCUGUCCUUUUUCUUUUUCGGGAGGCGUAAAACAAGUUCUCCGACAUUGUAUGUCUUAGCCCACACUUCCCUGCUUUGGUAUCGCCUGGCUGUUGUUGAUAGAAUGCGGAACGAGCCUUUGCAACGUCGCGCUCCUCUUCAAGUCCAUCUAGGUCAUCCUAGGCUUCUCGCUCUUCGUACAUGCGCACUCGAGGUGAGUCAUGAAUAAUAUUGCAGGGCCAUACAACCUCUGCGCCGUAUACCAUAAAGAAAGGUGUGUAUCCAGUCGUUUGAUUGGGCGUGGUCCGCAGCCCCCAGAGUACGGAAUCGAGUUCCUCAACCCAGUGCUUAUCGGAUUCUCAUAAGGAGCGCACCAGUCUGGGAUUAAUGCCGCUCAUGAUUAGACCAUUGGCCUGUUCGACUUGGCCGUUUUUUUGAGGGUGGUAUAUGGAUGUGUAGUCGAGUUUAAUGCCCUACUUACCGCAUCAAGUUUUCACCUCAUCAGUUGUCAAGUUGGAGCAAUUAUCAGUGAUGAUACUAUGCGGGACACCGUAACGAUGCACCACGCCGGAUAUAAAAUCAAUCACUGGCCCUGCUCCAACUGUUUUUACUGGUUUGUCUUCUAUCCAUUUAGUGAAUUUAUCGACCAUAACCAGUAAAUAUUUCUUGUUAUGGCUUCCCCCUUUAAGGGGACCGACCAUAUCGAGCCCCCAAACCGCAAAGGGCCAGGUAAUAGGGAUUGUUAUUAAGGCAGUAGGAGGCAUAUGACUUUGGUUGGCAAAAAGCUGACAACCCACACAACGUUGGACAAGGGUCUGUGCGUCUGCCCGGGCCGUUGGCCAGAAAAAACCUGUCUGAAAAGCUUUGCUUACGAGGGCCCGAGUUGCGGCAUGAUGACCGCCCAGACUAGCAUGUAUAUCUACCAAGAGUUGUCGUACCUCCUCUUCAGAGAUGCACCUUUGGAGGACUCUGGUAGUGCUCUUUUUGUACAGUUCACCCUCGUGCACCUUGAAGGCUUUAGAGCGCCGAACUAUGCAACAGGCUUCAUUGUGAUCAUCGGGAAGCUCUUGCCUAUUAAGGUAGGCCAGGAAGGGUUCGGUCCAUGGAGCGAUAAUAGCCAUGAUCUCAUGAGCAGAGGGUGUUAUUUCUAUAUACGAUCCCCCGGCGGUAUCUGUCGUGUGUUUGGCUGCUGGGGGUGUGACCAGGUCCAUACUAGAUUCUCUGCUCUCACCCUGCCAUACUACAGAUGUCUUAAAAAGCCUUUCCACAAAGGUGUUAGGUGGCACAGGGUCGCGCUUAGCGCCCAUGCAAGCGAGGAUGUCGGCUGUCUGGUUACUGUCUCGAGCGACAUGAUGGAAUUCAGGUCCCUCAAACCGAGCUGAUAUUUUUAGUAUGACAUUUCGGUAUGCCGCCAUUUUUGGGUCCUUUGCGUCGAAUCAUCCAUUGACCUGGGAUAUUGCUAGGUUUGAAUCGCCACGCACCUUGAGGCGUGUUGUAUGCCCAUGGAGACAGCCAUGCAAAGACCGUGUAGGAGCGCCUCGUAUUCAGCCGCAUUGUUGGAGUCUGUAUACAUGAUUUGUAACACAUAAUAGACUGUGUCCCGGGUGGGGGAUGUUAGGAUAAUGCCCGUCCCUAGUGCGGCUAGCAUUUUGGAACCGUCAAAGUACAUAGUCCAGUUGGAGUAUGAACUAUACUCUUUAGGGAGUUUGGCCUUCGUCCACUCAGCGACAAAGUCGGCCAGCACCUGAGAUUUAAUAGCCCGGCAUGGUUUGUAUGCUAUUUCGAAUGGUAAAAGUUUGAUGGCCCAAUUGGCUAUGAAGCCAGUGGCGUCCCUGUUGUUAAUGGUUUCGUUAAGUGGUACUUCCGAUGCCACUGUGAUCGAACACUCUUUGAAAUAGUGUCAUAAUUUUCAGGAUGCCAUGAAGACCGUAUAGGCUAUCUUUUGGUAGUGGGGGUAUCGGGAUUUGCAUGGUGUAAGGACCUCCGAUACAUAAUAGACUAGUUUUUGGGUGGGGAAUUUAUGUCCCUCUUCCUCUCGUUCAACGACGAGUACAACGCUGACUACCUGGUUGGUUGCCGAGGUAUACAGCAACAUAGGCUCGCCAACACCUGGGGCGGCUAGGAUUGGGUUGCUUGCGAGUAGGCCUUGAUUUCUUCCAAUCCGGCUGUGGCAGCAUCCGUCCAUUCAAAGCUGUCAAUGCGUCUUAGUAGCUUGUAGAGUGGUAACGCUUUUUCUCCUAAUCUGGAGAUGAAGCGGCUCAAGGCCGCGAUGCACCUUGCUAGUUUUUUGGACAUACUUUAGCUUGAUUGGUAUGGCCAAUUGUGACAAGGCUCUUAUCCUAGCUGGGUUUGCUUUGAUUCCUCUAUGGGAAACAAUGAACCCUAGUAAUUUUUUGGUUGGAACGCCGAAGACACAUUUCUCCAGAUUGAGGCGUAUGUCGUAUGUCCGUAGGUUUUCGAAGGUAAGGUGAAGAUCGCCGAUUAGUGUGUCGACGUGUUUUGUCUUGAUGACCAUGUCGUCCACAUAUGCUUCGACUGUUUUGCCGAUUUGUUUUUCCAAGCAUGUUUGAAUCAUACGUUGGUAAGUGGCCCCUGCGUUUUUGAGUCCGAAGGGCAUAGUAUUGAAGCAGAAAGGGUCGUAUGGGGUGAUGAACGCUGUUGCAGCCUGAUCCUAUUCCUUCAUUUUAAUCUGAUGGUAUCCGGAAUAGGCGUCUAGGAAACACAAUUAAUCGUAUCCCGCGGUUGCACCGAUGAUUUGGUCAAUGCGGGGCAACGGGAAAGGAUCUUUAGGGCAGGCCUUGUUGAGGUCUUUGAAGUUGACUCAAAGGCGCCAGGAUUUGUCCUUCUUUCGUAUGAUGACCAAGUUGGCUGACCAAUCUGGAUGUUUGAUUUCCCUGAUGAACCCGACUUCUAGUAGUUUAGCUAGUUCUUCUCCCAUGGCUUGACACUUGGGUUCAGAAAAUCGCCGCCGUGUUUGCUUCACGGGUUUUAACCCCUUGAUUAUGUUUAGGCUAUGCUCGGCCAGCCUGCAUGGGAUGCCCAACAUAUCUGAAGGAUGCCAGGCAAAAAUAUCCAGGUUCUCGUGCAAGAAUGUGCGCAAAGAGGCGUCCACUGUCGGUUCUAGCUGUGCUCCAAUAGACGAUGUCUUGUUGGGGUCCGUCGGGUGCACUUGAAAUUUGACUAUUUCCUUUACUGGCUUGAAGGAGGUGGAUUUAGGUCUUUUGUCAAGGAUCACAUCAUCCUUGUCCACCGUGGACCAUAGGGUGGUUAGUUCGUCGGCCACUAGGGCUUCGCAUAACGCCUCGAGGGCCAAGGAUGUGGUUUUGUUUUCGGCACGUUGUGCUCUGUCCAGGUCGCUCGAGAUUGUGAUGAUUCCGUUGGGUCGGCAUUUUAAGCUUCAUAUACCUGUAAUGGGAUAUAGCCUGGAAGAUGAGAAGGCGUCCCGUCCGAGGAUGACGUGGUACCCACUGCUGAAGGGGAACACAUGAAAGAGGAACUCUUCGGACCUGUAGUUCUCGGGCGUGCCAAACACCAGAUCCAAUGUAAUUCUCCCAGAGCAUCGUGCUUCUCGACUGGGGAUGAUGCUGCGAAAGGUGGUGUUGCUUUGCUCGAUGCGUGUUCUAUCAAUCUGUAUUUUGUCGAGCAUAUCUUCAUAGAUGAUGUUAAGCCCACUGUCGCUGUCCAUGAGCAUUUUAGUAAGCCUAAAACCGUCCACAAUGGGGUUUAGGACUAGGGCGGCCGGUGCCCAGACUGUCCGAGCCUUUGGUUUGUCUUUGGUGGUAAAGGUUAUUGCCGCGUCGUUCCAUGGGCUCAGUGCGGUAACUUGGUGGACUUCGGUGAGGUCGCGGAGUUCCCUUUUUGGCCAAUUACAUGAAGAAAAGGUCUCGAAGACCACGAGGACGUUGUAAUCGUUCCUCUCUGGGGAGGAUUUCCCUGGAGUUAUGGUGGAGAGGAUGGCCUCUCCACUGUUUGCUACCUGCCGUAGUACCCAACAUGCUCGAAGGCUAUGGGUUGGGUCUAUGCUCAAGGUCGCAUGUAUCAGACAGGGCUUGGCAAGGUGUUCAUGAAGAACAGAUAUAUAUCCCAUAAAGGGUUUAUUUUCUCUGCCGCCAGAGUGAUGGUCGGAUGUCCCACUAGGGUGCUUCCAUUUAGUCCAGGCCACUGCUUAAAGGCAGCGGGCUCCAGUUGAGUUUUCUGGUCCUUCCAUGUGCUUUCCACCGCAUAGUACUUUUGCACUACCUGUGACAAUUCUGUGAAGCUCCAUAUGUGACGACGGUCGAGGGCGUUCAGUAUUCCCUCGUCGGUACAAUUGUGAUGGAACACCGAAACUGCAUCGUGGUCGCAGCAAUCUUUGAUCUUGCUUUUUACAAGUAGGAAUGUGGCCGAAAAGUGAUGGACCAUUUCCUGAGGUUGCUGCAGUAUAUACAUUAGGUCGUAUAUGUCUAGAGGCCCGGAGUUUCUUCGAGAGUAUUAAUUGUGGUGGGUGGGUGGGGUUAAAAUUUGAAUCCCUACCCACGUUAGUACUUGGAGUUUGGAAAAUCUCCAAAGUGACCAGUUCAGAUCUGGGGAGAUCGAAGUGCUCAUCCGUUAUCUGAGCCAGAGUUUGGGGGAGUUGGAGUCCCGCCUAAUGGUAGAGUAUCUGACUCGAGAGGUUUGGAGACCGGAACAUAUUUAGUUCUCAACAUAGGGGAGAAGUAUCCUUGGCUCGUUCCUCAACGACCGCUACAAGGUGGGUGACUGGCGGGUGAUGAAUCUCCCUCUGGUCAGGCUUAAGCCCGAUCCGACCAUAAUCUGUUGAAACCCCCAGGGCGGCGAUGCGGUCUAGCAGCUCGUUUAAAGACGAUACUUCUACCGGAUCCAUCUUUUUGGAGUACUCGAGACCGAUGCGGAGGAUGUGUUCGGCGGUCAUAGGGGGUGUUGUAGGCUUGACAGCCGUAUGGGAGCCUACGAUGAAACUGCCGAGCUAGAGGGUCAGCCUAGAAGACAGGCUCCUUUGAGAGGUAAUGCUGUCGUUGAUGACUAGGUGAGCCAUAGAUCACUUUUUCGGGACUACACAAUAGAGCUCUCAAUGAAAGCACCAAUGCGGUGUCAAAACCGGCAAAUCUUGGGUAGGGGGCCCAAGAUGUGUGUCUAAGGAUCGAUGGUAACAAUGGACAAAGGGACACAAUGUUUACCCAGGUUUGGGCCCUCUUAAAGGAGGUAAAACCCUAUGUCCUACUUGAUUGUAUUUGAUGAGUAUAGUGGUUACAAGAGUUGAUCUACCUCGAGAUCAUAAUGGCUAAACCCUAGCUUGUCUAGCCUAUGAGUAUUAUGACGAUGAUAGCCUCUACGGACAAAAUCCUCUAGUUUAUAUACACACCAGAGGGGCGUAGGGUUUGUACAAAGUCGGUUCCCCAGGGAAGGAAAUAGUACAUCCGGACUCUAAUCUUGCCAUCCCGGUGCACAGGAGUCCUACCCGUAUAUGGAGUAAUGGCCUUUAGCUUUAUCUUCAUGGCCCAUCCUGUCCGGCCCACAUCCUUGAGCCAGACACAUGAGGACCCCCAAAACCAGGACUCCCUCAACCACUCCCAGUGAUGACCGUAGUUUGAGGAGUUCGUGUAUUCAUCGUGUGUUAAUGCUUUGUUCCAGUUCUCUAUUAAAAGGAGGCCUUGGUAUCCCUUAGUUUCCAAUAGGACCCCGCUACCACGGGAGGGUAGGACAAAAGAUGUCAUGCAAGUUCUUUUCAUAAGCACGUAUGACUAUUUACGGAAUACAUGUCUACAUUAUAUUUAUGAACUGGAGCUAGUGUCGUAUCCCCUAGGUUAUAACUGUCUCAUGAUGAAUAUCAUCCAAUGAGUCACUGAUCCAAUGCCUACGAAUUUACAUUAUCUUGUUCUUGCUAAGUUGCUACUGUUGCUACUGCUAUCGUUACUGCUACCAAAUCACUGCUAUCACUGUUACCGUUAUUGUUGCUGCUGCUACCAUUAUCAAAACUAUCAUAUUAUUGUGCUACUGAUCACUUUGCUGUAGAUAAUUAAUCUCCAGGUGUGGUUGAAUUGACAACUCAGCUGCUAAUACUUGCAAAUAUUCUUUGGCUCCCCUUGUGUCGAAUCUAUAAAUUUGGGUUGAAUACUCUACCCUCGAAAACUUUUGCAAUCCCAUAUACUUGUGGAUUAUCAACCAACAUCACACAUAAUCUCAAAAGGCAAGUUCCAAUUAGGUGGUUGAACAACAGGUGCAGAAAUUAAGGCUUUCUUGAGUGUUUCGAAGGCUUCCAAACAAUCAUCAUAAAAAAAAGGAAUAUCCUUUUGCAAAAUAUUUGUAAGAGGCCUAGAAAUUUUAGAAAAGUCUUUGAUAAAUCUCCUAUACAAACCAGCAUGACCAAGGAAACUAUGAAUACCUUUGAUAUCUUUAGGACAUGGCAUUUUCUCAAUUGCAUCAACCUUGGCUUAGUCCACCUCAGUACCUCUUUUAGAAAUUUUAUGGCCCAAAACAAUAGCUUCGUUAAUCAUGAAGUGGCACUUCUCCCAAUUUAAGACAAGAUUUGUUUGCUCACAUCUCUGCAAAACUCGUUCAAGAUUGCUUAAACAAUCAUCAAAAGACUUCCCAUAAACGGAAAAUCAUCCGUGAAAACCUCAACAAUCUUUUCACAAAAUUCAGAGAAUAUAGCAGUCAUACAUCUUUGAAAGCUAGCAGGUGCAUUACAUAGACCAAAAGGCAUACAUCUAUAAGCAUAAGUUCCAAAAGGGCAAGUAAAAGUGGUCUCUUCUUGAUCAGGUUGAGAAACAUGUAUUUGUGAAAAACCAGAAUAUCCAUUAAGGGAGCAAAAGUGUGUGUGCUUAGAUAGUCUUUCUAGCAUUUGAUCAAUAAAAGGCAGAGGGUAAUGAUCUUUUCUCGUUGCUUUGUUUAAUUUUCUAAAAUCAAUUACCAUUCUAUAGCCUAUGACAAUUAUUUGUGGAAUAAGUUCAUUAUUAUCAUUAGGAACAACAAUUAUACCUCCCUUCUUAGGGACACGAUGAACAUGACUUACCCAUCUACUAUCAUCUAUAGGAUAGAUUAUACCUGCUUCCAGAAGUUUCAAUAUUUCCGUUCUUACCACUUCUUUCAUCUUCAGAUUUAACCAACGUUGGUGAUCAACAACGGGUUUAGCAUCAGGUUCCAUAUUAAUCUUGUGCUAACAUAGAGUGGGACUAAUGUGCUUAAGAUCAUCAAGAGUAUAUCCAAUAGCAGCUCGGUGCUUCCUUAGAACUUUCAACAAUCUUUCUUCUUCAUGUUUUGAAAGGUUAGCACUAAUAAUAACAUGAUAUAUCUUUUUAUCAUCAAGAUAAGCAUAUUUCAAAGUGUCUGGCAAUUGUUUUUUCAAACACAGGAUCACCUUUAGGUGGAGGAGGAUCUCUGUCGGUGUCAAAACCGGCGGAUCUCGGGUAGGGGGUCCCGAACUGUGCGUCUAGGCAGAUGGUAACAGGAGACAAGGGACACGAUGUUUUAACCCAGGUUCGGGCCCUCUCGAUGGAGGUAAAACCCUACUCCUGCUUGAUUGAUAUUGAUGAUAUGGGUAGUACAAGAGUAGAUCUACCACAAGAUCAGAGUGGCUAAACCCUAGAAGCUAGCCUAUGGUAUGAUUGUUGUUCGUCCUACGGACUAAAACCCUCCGGUUUAUAUAGGCACCGAAGAGGGUUAGGGUUACACAGAGUCGGUUACAAUGGUAGGAUAUCUACAUAUUCGUACUGCCAAGCUUGCCUUCCACGCCAAGGAAAGUCCCAUCCGGACACAAGACGAAGUCUUCAAUCUUGUAUCUUCAUAGUCCAGGAGUCCGGCCAUCCGGACACCCCCUAAUCCAGGACUCCCUCAGUAGCCCCUGAACCAGGCCUCAAUGACGACGAGUCCGGUGCGCAUAUUGUCUUCGGCAUUGCAAGGCGGGUUCCUCCUACGAAUAUUUCAUAGAAGAUAUUAAACACAAGGAUAGUGUCCGGCUCUGCAAAAUAAGUUCCACAUACCACCGUAGAGAGAAUAAUAUUUACACAAGUUCAAUCUGCUGAUCUAUUUCGUGGCGUGACAUCGCACCAUGGCCAAGCCUUUAUUCGAAUCGUUUUUACUGUCCCACCUUAGCGCGUUUAGCGAGGCGGUUUCCUUGGCACGUCUCAUCAAAGCAGAGAUCGUGUCCCCUUAUUCCGGGAUUCUCAUCAAUACGAGCGUGGGUAACCCAGUCGUGCCCGUUGGCACAUCUCCUCUAUCGAAGGCGAGUCCCGAACGGUCACGGGGAAGGCCCUUGGUAUUCAACCUCUUUAUAAAGAGACCAAGGCUCCACUCCUUUCUUUCAAUCUCAAUCGAAUCCACCCCUCGCCUCGAGUUCCAACACCCAAAGCUCCAGAUACAGGCGCUUCGGACCUUCGAUGAUGUCCGGCUCCGACCUGCAAGGCUGGUGGAUGCCUUCCUCCGUUAUGGAAGAAGACGUGCUAAAGCUAAGAGAUGCUAGGUAUCUAACCGGCGAAAUUUCGCAUAGGCUGCCUGCCCAAGGGCAGGUUAUUCCUACUCCCAAGCCUGGUGAAAGCGUGGUGUUCACGUCUCACUUCCUUCGUGGUCUAAGCUUCCCGACGGACCCCUUCGUGAGGGGGCUCAUGUUUUACUAUGGGCUGGAAUUUCAUGACUUAGAUCCGGAGUCCAUCCUCCACAUCUCAUCGUUCAUUGUCGUAUGCGAAGCCUUCCUCUGCAUUACCCCUCACUUCGGAUUGUGGCUCAAGACCUUCAAAGCGGAGCCGAAGAUGAUCAAGGGGCAGCAGGCAGAGUGCGGAGGGGCUGUUAUAAGCAGGAAUGCUGACGCUCCGUGGCCCGAGGGCUCUUUUCAAGAAGAGCUCAGCCUAUGGCAACAAGAGUGAUUUUAGAUCACAGCUCCUAGGGGCACCAAAUGGGUGGCGCCACCUGCCUUUCGCUCGGGUCCUUCACCGCAGCUGGCGUCAUGGGUCAAUAAAGGACUUGACUGGGGGCCGUCCAAGGACGUGCCAUUGCUGCAGGGCCGCAUUCAAGAUCUCCUAGAGAGAGAGAUCACUCUGGUCGUAGUAGCGCAGGUCAUGCUGAUUCAUCGCAUCCUGCCCUGCAGACAUCGCCCCCUCCACCUGUGGGAAUUUAACCCGGAGGGACCACGAGCUCUCCAACAUUUUAUGGGCGCGACGCCCGUGGAAAUGUACAAGCUUUUCUUCGGAUCACAAGCGAUGUGUCCAGACUUGACCGAGGACGCAGGUCUAAGCUGCAAUCGCCCGGAUACUCAAGUAAGUAGCCCUGUAUCCGGACAUGCUAUCCCAUAUUUAUCAUCAAUUUGCCCUCAAAAGAGUUGUCCCUUGAACAGGAGUGGAUAGCAAAAGCAAAGCUAAUCAGGUGUCCGGCCCCCCUCCCUGAGACCACGCCGGAUCCCGUGUUAACCAGGAUGCUGGAGGUUGCGCCUUCGGAAGAAGGUGAAGGGGGGAACAAGGAAGCUACCGCCUCCGCGAAGGAGGCUGUCAGGAAAGGAGGGAUCGAGAAUCCCUCCAUCCAAGGGAAGAAGAGGACCGCCUCUGAAGACCCGGAGACCAUGGUCUCAAAGCGGGGGAAGAAAUCUUCGUCAGAGGGUCCUGCGCCGAGAGAUGCCUCGGCCGCAUUAUGCCCCCAAGGGGAUCAGCCCUCCACCGAGCCGUAAGUAAAAAGUGGAGUUUUUAUUAAAAUAAAGGAUAUCCCUGCCCUAUUUCUGAUGAAGAUAACCGAAGUUUUACCUUGUAGUUCGGAUCUCAGCCCUUCUCAGCAGAGCUCAUCUUCGGGGGAUCUUCAUCCGGAGAUGAUUGAGAGCAAAAUGCCUCCCCCUGCCGUACCGUCGUGUGAGGUGGGCGACCCUGAGGUGUCAUUGUGGAGGGUUUCUCCGAGUCCGGCGGAGCCGGAAGGCAGUCAUAUUUCCCCUCAAAGCCCUCCGCGUCCGGCCUUCGAAAAAGGCCAUCGGACGAGUCCGACACCACCUGGUGUACGGUUGGAGGAGCUGAAGGAUCUGCUCGGGCGAGCGUCUAUCUCAGAAGAUCACCGUGCAUUAAUGGGUACGGUGAUUGAAAGGAUUUCAUCCGCUAAGAGUGGAUUGCACGAAGCCGUCAGAAGUUUACUAACAGGUUUUGAGGUACGCAAAAUGAUGUACCUUCUGACAGGUUCGCGUAUUAAAUGCGCCCUGUGUAGAUAGUAGCCCCUGAGGCUCGGUGUGUUGUCAAAAAAUGACAGCACACCGAGGAUCAUAAUCCUAGGUAUAAUAUGUCGCCCUUCCUAUGUAGGGGGCGAAGGGUCCGGUGGCUGGCCGGACUGAUGAAUUUGCCGAACUGAAGCGGCAACUUGACGUGGCGGAUUCCGACGUCGCGCUUUUCAAUAAGCGACUUGACGAGUCACAAGGUAUGCAAUUUCUCCGCGGACACCUGGUAAGGGAGCUUGAUGCCCGUGCCUUACAACAAGUAUGCUUGAUGCAGAUGGUGCCGCUGCCAUGGAGAACCUGCGGGCGGAACUCGCCCGAGCCAAGGAGCAGGCCAGAAAGAGUGACGUGGCUGCCUUAAAGGCGGCCGAAGAGCUAAAAGCCGAACAGGCUGCUCACUGCCGAAGCAAGAAGGAAAUGGCUGAGAUGGCCAUGGAGUUGAAGAAUGCUGCCAACCGCUGCAAGCUUCUUGAAAAAGAAGAUUGAGCGGUACAAGAGGACCUGAAGAAGGCCGCUACUGAGGCCAAGGAUGCUCGCUCUGCGAUGAGAGCUAUGAAGGAGGAGCUGCGUCAGGCCAGAGAUAUCGCGGCUGGAAAGCCCUUUCUGCUGCAGAGGAAAUUCAUGGAUCCUAAAUAUGCUCAGUUGGACCGGCUGUGGAGUGCGGAGGAUGCUUAUCUGGACUUGGCGGCAAGUGCCACGGACGCGGCCGAACACUUCCGAGAUCAAGAGGAUCACGAAAUGGCAAAGGUUUUUUGGUCGCAGUUCCGUAAUCCGGAGCACCCACUUCCAUUAACCGAUCGCUUGGCCGAAUGGGCGGAGCUGAAUAGGUUAUCCGGACUUGCCAUGAAGGAUGUCGUGAGUCUUUUGUGGUCGAAGAGGCCUGAGCCGAAAAGUUAUUUUGGCUUGGUGCACCAGUUCCUUGGUGCGGUGCCGCAUAUCAAUGCAAUGAGAAGGUCGGCAUGCAUAGAGGGUGCACGGAUGGCUCUUUCCCGUGUCAAGACAUACUGGGCGGAGAUGAAGGCCACCGAUGUUGCAUCCCAAGAUUCAGACGAAAGCCGAGUACCUGUCGAGCACUAUUUUCAGGAAGUUCUGCAGGGCGCUCAUUUAAUAGAGACGCAGUGCUUGAAGGAUAUUAUAUCCGAAUAACAUGUAUUAUUGUGAAACAAUGUUUCGAUGAAAUAUAAAAGCUUUUUAUACUUGUGCCUUCAAGAAUUGAAACACCUCCUGUGCAGCCGUUAAUGUAUAUGUGUAUAUAACCUGAAAGAUGGCAGUCUUCGGCUUCAGCCCCCACGCAUAUAAUGCGGGGGUGUUUGCAAAAGGCGCGUUUUCACACUUGAUCCAACGUCUUGGUCUUAUAAAGGAGGUGGUAGCGCAACAAACUAGGCAACCGGACUAUAAUGCUUUAUCACUUUUACUUAGCCAUAGGAGUUUGACAGUGGGGCUACUAUAUAGCCCCUAGGGGCACUGCGCUCACCCGAAUUCAGGGCGCGUAUGUGCCUGACCGGGAAACGGCCCUUCGUCUAUGUGGAGGAAUCCUAAAGAUUCCGGUGGGUCAUCGAGUGGUUGACCAGUCUCACGCUAUAUCAUGACAGUCAGUUUUCGGCUUUCUCUACUGAGGUGCUCGCCUGGACGAACCGGCGCACAGUCGCAGUAGUUCUCUUGGUGCCGCGUUAGCCGAUAGAGCAGACCGUAAGGCAGCAAAACACAGGAGCCGGGCAAACCCAACAUUUGACCAAAGACAUGAUUCGGAGCUGAUGCAUAUAAGGCCUAACUCGAGACGCCGAACACUCCCUAAGGUAUUCGGUCUUUAUGAAAACGGGCCGAACAACGCCCUUGGUAAUAAGCCCCUGGUGUCCAGGUACGCGCAAAAUUCUGACGUGGCCCAUGCCAAAACGCCAGCCUCCUCCUUGGUUAUAGCAAGAAACCAGGGGAUGUGUAUCAACAAGAGACAAUAAAAAAGGUUUAUGCAGGGACUUAAUCUGAAAAGAAUCCUUGCAACGGGUCCCUACUGCACGUCUGCGCCUGUGUCUCCGUUGUGCCCUAUCCUAGACGGGUGUAGCACGGUGUUCAUCUGUAAAAGAGAGGAACUUUGUUUAAAAAGAUCAUGCGAAAAUGUAGGUUAUAUUAAAUAAACAAAGUACAAGUCAAAAAAUGAAUAAAAUUGAGCUUUAUUGUCUCUUGCUGUAUAUGCACGGAGCCCCUUGUGCGGGGGUAUGCGGGUGGUAAGCCCUUGUAUGUUUACGCCGGACUCGUAUAACCGUGUCCGGGGUCUGAUCGACCUAUUUAGGUGCUUGGAUUAAUAAAGCCAGUUUAGUGUGUGGCUGUCAAGGCAGUCACACAAUCUUCCGCGCUCGAGGAACACUCGAUAUUUCCCUUUAAGGAGAUGAUGCCUCGCGGACCGGGCAUUUUAAGUGUAAGGGAUGCAUAAUGCGGUAUUGCGUUAAAGCGGGCGAAAGCUUCGCGUCCCAGGAGUGCUUGGUAGCUACUUGUAAAUGGGGCGAGGUGGAAGUUUAAAUUUUCGUGGCGGAAGUUGUCGGGUGGGCCGAACAUAACUUCUAGCAGUAGAGAGCCCGUACAAUGGGCAUAUGGGCCUGGCAUUACCCCUUUGAAAGAAGUGUUGCUAUGGCGAACUUUGGCUGGGUCUAUCCCCAUUUUGCGGAUUGUGUCCUGAUAUAGCAGGUUGAAAUCACUGUCGCCAUCCAUUAAGACUUGUGUAAAUAGGAGUCCGUCAAUUAUCGGAUUUAAUAUCAAGGUAGUCCAUCCUGCAUUCCGGAUACUUCUAGAAUAAUCCUGAUGGUCGAAGGUGAUUGGUUUUAACAACCAGUGGUGGGACUCCUCUGGGAUAGGCCGUAUGGCGCGUACCUCUAUGGGCGCUGCUCUAUUUUUCCCUUUUGUCACGCGAAGUGAGUUUACUGUUUUGACUUCUUGUGGGAAAUUCUUUUGUUUUCCGGUGCUCUGCUUGUGAGGAUCGUCAUCGUCCUCGCUUGGUGUGUCAAGCCCCUUGUGUUCGGCGUUGAGUUUGCCAGACUGCUUGAAGACCCAACAAUCUCUGUGGGUAUGAUUCGCAGGCUUCCCGGGGGUACUGUGGAUUUGGCAUACCUUGUCCAAGAUUUUGUUUAAGUUAGAUAACUCGUCCCUAUUAUCUUUAGGGGGCAGUUUUUCAUGAUUAUGUCGUGAGCUUCUGAAUCCGGCGUUGACUGCCGUGCUCUUCGGGCUAUUCCCCUUGGUCCGGCGCUGGUCCUUGCUGCGUCGUGGUUUCCCGUUUCCAUCCCUGACUUCGGAUGUACUUGGGUUGCUGGUACUGCAUCUUGCCAGCCAUCUAUCCUCUCCCGCGUAGAAGCGGGUCAUGAGGCUUGUUAAUGCGUCCAUUGUUCUUGGCUUUUCUUGGCCGAGGUGUCUGGCGAGCCAUUCGCCUCGGACGUUGUGUUUCAAAGCUGCUAAGGCUUCGGCGUUCGGACAGUCGACUAUUUGGUUCUUUUUAGUAAGGAAUCUGUUCCAGAAUUUUCGGGCUGACUCUCCGGGUUUUUGAGUUAUGUGACUUAAAUCUUCUGCAUCCGGAGGUCGGACAUAGGUCCCUUGAAAAUUUGCCCGAAAAGCAUCCUCGAGCUCUCCCCAACUUCCAUGGGUAUUUUCGGGGAGGCUUUUGAGUCAAUGCCUGGCUGGCCCUUUGAUCUUGAGGGGUAAGUAUUUUAUGGCGUGGAGGUCAUCUCCUCUAGCCAUGUGUAUGUGGAGGAUGUAGUCCUCGAUCCAGACUCCAUGGUCUGUUGUUCCGUCGUAUGCCUCUAUGUUUACGGGCUUGAAUCCCGCUGGAAAUUCAUAAUCCAGAAACUCAUCGGUAAAACAUAGGGGGUGUGCGGCACCCCUAUAUUUAGGUGUGCCAUAAUAUUCGGAUACUUUAUGUGUUGCAUUGCUUACUAGAGCUUGCUUUAUUGGCCCGUAGAUAGAUCUAACUGGGCCAUCCUUUUGAUGCGAAUCCGUGUGCGGAUCGCGGGCCGGCUUGUGUGCGGCGCCGUUUGCCGCUCUAUGUUUGCCACGGGGUCGUCUAUCCGACCGAGUGGUCUCUUUGCUUUUAGAUUGCGGGGGCUCUAUGGCCUCCCCAUCGAAUUCGGGCAGUAGUUUUCGCUUCGGGUAGCUCUUUGUUCGGCGACUAUCACCGUAUUUGUCUGUGGUGUUGAGUACUUUGCUCCAUCUGAUUCUGACCGCAUCUUCCGCUGUUUUGAGCUUCCGCUUCUGCUCUUUCAGGCUACACGCAGUGGCGACGAGCCUUUUGUGGAGGUUCUUCUGCUCCGGUAACUUUUCCGGCGUGAGAUCGCCCGGACUGUUAUCUUCGCCUGGGACAGGUUGUUUAUCCAGAUUGUCCUAUUCGGACUGUUGCUCGAUAGCAUGUUCGUCGUCCACCGGUUCGCCCUGCUCUAUGGCUGGGUCUGUAUGGCUGAUGUCUUUGUCGAGGCGGGACUUUGAGCGGUGCCUACAUCGCCGUUUUGAUUGUUUUUGAGGGAAUGAUCCCUCGUGACGUCCCGUUGUUCCUCGUCAUCGCUUCCUUUAGGUGUGUCCACCAUGUAUACAUCGUGAGAUGAGGUGGCUGUCCAGUGCCCUAUAGGUGCUGGUUCAUGUGUGUCUCCUACAUCGUCGUCCAUAUCAUUGAUGUCUUCGGAGUCGAAGUCGAGCACGUCGUUUAAACGUUCGACAGUGGCUACGAAGUGGGUGGUGGGUGGGCUUUGAAUUUCUUCGUCAUCCGCAUCCCAACCUUCCUGACCAUAGUCCGGCCAGGGCUCUCCUGAUAGUGAGAGAGACUUUAGUGAAUUCAGGAUGUCGCCAAAGGGCGAGUGUCGAAAGAUGUCCACGGCGGUGAACUCCAUGAUCGGCGCCCAAUCGGAUUCGAUUGGCAGGGGCGCGGAAGGUUCGGAGUCCGGAGAGGAGUCCGGCACCCUGGAGUCACAAGCUUCGCAAAGGACAGGGUUGGUGUUCGGCUCAAUCGCCGUAGAGAUAGCAGCCCCCGAGGCGGUGUCCAGCCACCCGUCCUCGAUCGGCGCAGUCGGCUCCGAGCUAAGGGUCGGAGCAGACACUUGUGCGGCUUCCAGGGCACUGUCCGGCGGCAGAGCUAGAUCAUGCCCAUCGUGACGGUGCGGCGCGCUUGGCUAUGGCUCGAACUCGUCGAAGAUCAAGUCUCCGCGGACGUCAGCCGUAUAGUUCAAACUUCCAAAUCUUGACCUGAUGGCCAGGGGCGUAGCCUUCAAUCUGCUCCAGAUAGCCAAGCGAAUUGGCCCGCAGUGCAAAGUCGCCUAAUACGAAGAUCUGUCCGGGGAGAAAAGUCUCACCCUAGACCGCAUCGUUGUUGAUGAUCGGAGGAGCCAUCGGGCCUAAUGAUGACGACACAGAGGAACUCUCAAUGAAAGCACCAAUGUCGGUGUCAAAACCGGCGAAUCUCGGGUAGGGGGUCUCGAGCUUUGCGUCUAGGCGGAUGGUAACAGGAGACAAGGGACACGAUGUUUUUACCUAGGUUCGGGCCCUCUUGAUGGAGGUAAAACCCUACUCCUGCUUGAUUGAUAUUGAUGAUAUGGGUAGUACAAGAGUAGAUCUACCACGAGAUCAGAGGGGCUAAACCCUAGAAGCUAGCCUAUGGUAUGAUUGUUGUUCGUCCUACGGACUAAAACCCUCCGGUUUAUAUAGGCACCGAAGAGGGUUAGGGUUACACAGAGUCGGUUACAAUGGUAGGAGAUCUACAUAUCCGUAUCGCCAAGCUUGCCUUCCAUGCCAAGGAAAGUUCCAUCCAGACACGGGAUGAAGUCUUCAAUCUUGUAUCUUCAUAGUCCAGGAGUCCGGCCAAGGGCUAUAGUCCCGCCAUCUGGACACCCCCUAAUCCAGGACUCCCUCAAUCUCCUAGAGUUUGAAUAGGCAGAUUGUGUUUGAGCGGAGGUUGUUGUUCAAACAAGAUUCUAUCGAUUUCAUUUCUUUCAUGCAUAUGCAAAUCAUUUCCAUGGUCUAGCAAAUAUUGUUCUAAAGGAUUAGUAGGAGGUAGAACAAUAGAAGCAAGACCAAUGAUUUCAUCCUUACUAGGCAAAUCUUUCUUAUGAGGUUUUCUACUAAACUUGGAAAAAUUAAACUCAUGAGAUUCAUCACCAAAGCUAACAACGACAGUUUGUUUCUCACAAUCUGUUUUAGCAUUAACGGUGUUCAAGAAAGGUCUAUUAAAGAUAAUGGGACAAACGUCAUCUUGUGGGUAACCAAGAACAAGAAAAUCAGUAGGGUAUUUUAUUUUCCCACACAAGACUUCAACAUCUCUAAUAAUCCCAAUUGGUGAUAUUGUAUAUUUGUUGGCAAGCUUAAUAGUAACAUCUAUGUCUUCUAUUUGAGUGGGUGCUAUAUCAUUUGUAAUUUCUUGAUAUAAGGAAAAAGGAAUAGCACUCACGCUAGCACCUAAGUCACAUAAACCAUGAUAACAACGGUCUCCUAUCUUAACUGAGACUGCAUGUAUGCCAACAACAGGUCUAUGUUUAUCUUUUUCAUCGGGUUUGGCAAUUCUAGCAGCUUUAGCACAAAAGUAAAUAACAUGCCCAUCAAUAUUAUCGACCAAGAGAUCCUUAACCAUAGCAACACUAGGUUCUACUUUGAUUUGUUCAGCUGGUUUAGGUGUUCUAAUAUAACUUUUGUUGACCAUGGUUGAAACUUUAUCAUGUUCCUUCAUCCUAACAGGGAAAGGUGGUUUUUCAAUAUAAGCAGUGGGAACAACUUGAUCAACAUUGUAAAUGAUAGUUUCUUCUUUAGCUUUUACUAGUUCUUUAAUUUCUUCUUUAAUUGGUGGGUGAUAUUUGAACCACUUCUCUUUAGGAAGAUCAACAUGAGUAGCAAAAGAUUCACAAAAGGAAGCUACUAUCUCAAAGUCAAGUCCAUAUUUAGUGCUAAACUUUUGAAAAGCAUCUGUAUUCAUAAAAGAUUUAACACAAUCAAACUUAGGCUAAAUACCUGACUCUUUACCUUCGUCGAGUUCCCAAUCUUCAGAGUUGCAUUUAAUUGUUUCUAAAAGAUCCCACCGUAAUUCAAUAGUCUUCUUCAUAAAAGAACUAGUACAAGAAGUAUCGAGCAUGGAUUGAUCAUUACGAGAAAACCGAGCAUAAAAGUUCUGAAUAAUAAUUUCUCUUGAGAGCUCAUGAUUGGGGCAUGAAUAUAACAUUGACUUAAGCCUCCCUGUCGGUGUCAAAACCGGCGGAUCUCGGGUAGGGGGUCCCGUGUAACGCCCUCGAUGCGGCUAUAUCUCCCACGUGUCGAAGCACGACUUAGAGGCAUAACCGCAUUGAAAUCAAUGUCGCAAGUGAGGUAAUCUUCGCACAAUCCAUGUAAUACAUAAGGGAAAAGAUACAUAGUUGGCUUACAGUCGCCACUUCACACAAUGCAUAAUUAAACAUCCAUCAUACAGAUUACACUCAAGGUCCGACUACGGAACCAAAAUAAAAGAAGAAUACCCCACAUGCAACGCAGAUCCCCGAUCGCCCCAACUGGGCUCCACUACUAAUCGUCUGGAAAUGAAACAUAGUAUCGACCAAGUGCCUCAUCAUAUUCCCACUUCAGCUCAGUUGCGCCAUCAGCGCUGGCAUCACCGGUACCUGCAUCUGUUUUGGUAGAAUCUGUGAGCCACAGGGACUCAGCAAUCUCACACCCGCGAGAUCAAGACUAUUUAAGCUUAAGGGAAGGCUGGUGUAAAAAGAGGAAGGGCUGCAGCAAGCGACUAGCAUAUAUGGUGGCUACAUCGCAAAAGAGAGCGAGAAGAGAAGCAAAGCACGGUCGUGAAGCUAGUAGUGAUCAAGAGGUGAUCCUAGCAACCUGCGUCAAACAUAACUCCAACACCGUGUUCACUUCCCGGACUCCGCCGAGAAGAGACCAUCACGGUUACAUACACGGUUGAUGUAUUUUAAUUAAGGUCAACUUCGGGUUUUCUACAACCGGACAUUAACAAAUUCCCAUCUGCCUCAUAACCGCGGGCACGGCUUUCGAAAGAUAAAACCCUGCAGGGGUGUCCCAACUUAGCCCAUAACAAGCUCUCGCGAUCAACGAAGGAAUAAACCUUCACCCAAGACACUCCGAUCAGACUCGGUAUCCCGGUACAUCAAGACAUUUCGACAAUGGUAAAACAAGACCAGCAAAGCCGCCCGAUGUGCCGACAAAUCCCGAUAGGAGCUGCACAUAUCUCGUUCUCAGGGCACACCGGAUGAGCAAGACGACGGGUUGGGAUAGACCCUGGUUGCCAAGGGGGCGCCNNNNNNNNNNNNNNNNNNNNNNNNNNNNNNNNNNNNNNNNNNNNNNNNNNNNNNNNNNNNNNNNNNNNNNNNNNNNNNNNNNNNNNNNNNNNNNNNNNNNNNNNNNNNNNNNNNNNNNNNNNNNNNNNNNNNNNNNNNNNNNNNNNNNNNNNNNNNNNNNNNNNNNNNNNNNNNNNNNNNNNNNNNNNNNNNNNNNNNNNNNNNNNNNNNNNNNNNNNNNNNNNNNNNNNNNNNNNNNNNNNNNNNNNNNNNNNNNNNNNNNNNNNNNNNNNNNNNNNNNNNNNNNNNNNNNNNNNNNNNNNNNNNNNNNNNNNNNNNNNNCUCGCGAAAACCCAAGGGAAAAAGGCUAGGUGGCAAAUGGUAAAACCAAGGUUGGGCCUUGCUGGAGGAGUUUUAUUCAAAGCGAACUGUCAAGGGGGUCCCAUAAAUCACCCGACCGCGUAAGGAACGCAAAAUCAAGGAACAUAACACCGGUAUGACGGAAACUAGGGUGGCAAGAGUGGAACAAAACACCGGGCAUAAGGCCGAGCCUUCCACCCUUUACCAAGUAUAUAGAUGCAUUAAUUAAAACAAAAGAUAUUGUGAUAUCCCAAAAUAUCCAUGUUCCAACAAGGAACAAACUUCAUCUUCACCUGCAACUAGCAACGCUAUAAGAGGGGCUGAGCAAAGCGGUAACAUGGCCAAACAACGGUUUGCUAGGACAUGGGUGGUUAGAGGUUUGACAUGGCAACAUGGGUGGCAAGAUAUAGCAAGUGGUAGGUAUCGCAGCAUAGGCAUAGCAAAAGAGCGAGCAUCUAGCAAGCAAAGAUAGAAGUGAUAUCGAAGGUAUGGUCAUCUUGCCUGUAAGGUUCUCAGAGUUGUCGAAGGCUGGAUCCUCGUAGGCGUUCUCAACAGGCUCCUCGUACACGUACUCGUCUCCCGGCUCUACCCAAAGCAAGAACACAAGCAACGGAACCACAAUCAAACAAGGAACAAUGCACAAGCAAUAUGAUGCAAAACAUGACAUGCGAUGCGAGAUGUGAUAUGCUAUGCAUAUGUAUGCUCCGGAAGGAAAAUGAUGAACAGGGCAUCAACUUGGCAAACCAAGUAUGCCGCUGGAAAGAUGAGAUGAUUUCGGUUGAAAACGAUAUAAAGAUCACCGGAAUCGGAUGCACGGUUUGCAAAUGACAAGCAAAACAAGAAUGACGCAAAUCUGCGUUUAACAGCCCGAGGCUACUUAGCACGCAACACGAAACUAUGCUACAGCACACCAACAUAUAAACAAAGCAUAUGGCAGCGAACUACAGGAGAUGCUUAACAAAAGAGGAACACUGAGCUACGGCUAAAUCACAUCAUAACAUGUUCAAACAAGCAUGGUGAAAGUGCUAAAAAUAUCAGGUUCACAGACUUAGUGAAAAUACUAAGAUGCCAGGAAUUAACAUCAGGAAGGCAUGUUUAGAGCAAGCAAACAACAUGCUACAGGAACUUAUAAUAGCAAAGCAAGGCAUGACAUGAUUCUACUCAAAGCAUAUUUCAAUAGUCCCUUACUGACCAUAAGCCAAAAAGGACUUUAAGAAAUGAUGGCACCCAUGUAAACAUUGCAAGUUUUAUUACAGAUUUCAGACUUGGCAGAAAAACCGGGCAUGGCAAAAACAGUUAACGAGUAGGCAUGUUCGUGAGCUCGAUGCACUCACUACAGAGAAUCUCAUGAUAAACUAAGCAUACACCCAUCAAGAAGACAGGGCAUAGGAGCUAUACAUGGCAAGAACAACAUCAUAGCAUACACGGAUCAACUACAACGACCUCGUGAAAAUUGAAUCUCAUGCAAACAGUCUGCCAGGAAACAUUUUCAAGCAAAAGUACAACACGAAAAUGACAUGCUAGACUACUCCAUAAAUACCAACAAAGGCAUGGAUGGAUAGAGCACAUCCAUAUGUUCAAAACAACCUUACUGAUCAUGCUCAAAAAGGGCAUGGAUCUCUCUGUAACAACAUGAACAUAUGGCAUAAAAAUAACAGCAGGACAUGACUUAGUGAAAUCACUAAGUUCCUGAAAUCAGCAACAUCAUCAUCCCUACUUUGCAUGCUUGUUCUAGUCAACACAUAACUCACAAAAAUACAUGGCAAACACCCCUGGAAAGAUGGCAUGGCAAUGUUCAACUCACAUGUAGGACUCAAGUUCAUAAGGUGCACACAUAAUUCAUGGCAAAAAUGACAAAAGAGCUCGAGCUGAUAAGAUUCUGAAACUAACGAUCUGAAGCCCUCUUCCAACAGCAUUUCGGGCAUCAAGAUGAGCUCAAAUGCAAAUGAUGCAAUGGAAUGAAAUGAUGUACUCUUCGAGGCGAACAAUUUGACAUAUUAUACGCCCAAAAUGGAGCCACGGGUGCGGAGAUGUGAUGCUAUGAAAAUGCCACGAAAUUAUCACAGAAAUGACUUAGUGGAAAUCAGGGGGAAAGAGGUCAACCGUUAGGGUUUCGGAUCUGGAUCCGGAUCUCGCCGGAGUUGGAGGUCGCCGGCGCGGGAGCUCGCCGGAGUAGGCUCGGGAGGAGGAAGGAGAGGCCGGGGCGGCGGCGGAUCCGGCGGGGCCGGCGGCGGCGCGGCAGAGGCGGAGCGGCGGCNNNNNNNNNNNNNNNNNNNNNNNNNNNNNNNNNNNNNNNNNNNNNNNNNNNNNNNNNNNNNNNNNNNNNNNNNNNNNNNNNNNNNNNNNNNNNNNNNNNNNNNNNNNNNNNNNNNNNNNNNNNNNNNNNNNNNNNNNNNNNNNNNNNNNNNNNNNNNNNNNNNNNNNNNNNNNNNNNNNNNNNNNNNNNNNNNNNNNNNNNNNNNNNNNNNNNNNNNNNNNNNNNNNNNNNNNNNNNNNNNNNNNNNNNNNNNNNNNNNNNNNNNNNNNNNNNNNNNNNNNNNNNNNNNNNNNNNNNNNNNNNNNNNNNNNNNNNNNNNNNNNNNNNNNNNNNNNNNNNNNNNNNNNNNNNNNNNNNNNNNNNNNNNNNNNNNNNNNNNNNNNNNNNNNNNNNNNNNNNNNNNNNNNNNNNNNNNNNNNNNNNNNNNNNNNNNNNNNNNNNNNNNNNNNNNNNNNNNNNNNNNNNNNNNNNNNNNNNNNNNNGGCGGCGGACGUGUCCGCCCGCGCAGAGAGGAACGGGGCUAGGGUUAGGGUGGUUUUGACCCGGGAUUUUUGGGGGAGAGGGUGUUUUUAUAGGUAGAAGGAGCUAGGAAGCUCCAAAUGAGGUGCGGUUUUCGCCCACACGAUCGUGAUCGAACGACCGAGGGCAUGGAGGGGAGUUAGAUGGGUUAUUGGGCUGUUUUGGAGGGUUGUUGGGCUGCAACUCAAAAGAGGCCUUUGCGAGAGUGCGGUUAACCGUUGGAGUACCAAACGAACUCCAAAUGACCCGAAACUUGACAGGUGGUCUACCGGUGCUAUACCAGGGCCACUUGGCAAGGCUCGGUCCAUUCCGAGAAUGUUCAACACCCGCACACGGAAAAAGAACAAGAGGGGGCGCCGGGAACAUAGGAGUGUCGGAUUGCAAAACGGACAACGGGGAAAAUGCUCGGAUGCAUGAGGCGAACACGUAUGCAAAUGAGAUGCACAUGAUGACAUGAUAUGAGAUGCAUGACAUGAACAAAAUGCAAAACGAAAACAAAACCCAACCACGGAGGGAAUAUCAUAGCACAUAUCCGAAAAUGGCAAGAGUUGGAGUUACAAAUAUGGAAAGUAACAUCCGGGGUGUUACAACACUCCACCACUACAAGAGGAUCUCGUCCCGAGAUCUAGGACUGAAAGAACUCCGAAUAUUCGGAACGGAGGUGAUCCUCACGCUCCCAGGUGGCUUCUCGGUCGGAAUGAUGUGACCACUUUACUUUCAGGAAUUUGAUUGACUUGUUGCGAGUCUUGCGCUCGGUUUCUUCAAGAAUAGCAACGGGGUGCUCAUGAUAAGAGAGGUCUUCUUGGAGGUCAAUUUCUUCAAAGUUGAUAGUGCGCUCAGGAAUCUUCAAGCACUUGCGGAGCUGUGACACGUGAAACACAUCGUGCACGUUUGCAAAGUUGGAUGGAAGCUCAAGUUGAUAGGCGAGAUCGCCUCUUUUGCCAAUGAUCUUGAAAGGACCCACGUAUCUAGGGGCAAGCUUCCCUUUGAUACCGAAGCGACGAGUGCCUUUCAUUGGAGAGACGCGGAGGUAGACAUGGUCUCCGAUUUCAAAAGCCACAUCACGGUGCUUGUCAUCAUAAUAGCCCUUCUGGCGCGAUUGCGCGGCUUUGAGAUUCUCACGAAUGACUUUGCACAUUUCUUCGACUUCUGUGAUCAAGUCGUUGCCAAGAAGUUGGCGUUCACCUGUCUCGGACCAAUUGAGAGGAGUACGACACUUUCUGCCAUAGAGAAUUUCGAAUGGGGCCUUGCCCGAACUUGCUUGGAAGCUGUUGUUGUAGGAGAACUCGGCAUAUGGAAGACAUUCUUCCCACUUCAUGCCAAAGGAGAUGACACAAGCCCUGAGCAUAUCUUCAAGGAUUUGAUUGACUCGCUCGACUUGGCCACUAGUUUGAGGAUGAAAAGCUGUGCUGAAACGAAUGUUGGUGCCCAUGGCCUUCUGAAAGGAGUCCCAAAACUUAGAAGUGAAGAUGCUUCCACGGUCUGAAGAGAUCAAUUGUGGAAUACCGUGCAAGGAGACAAUUCUGGAGGUGUAUAGCUCUGCCAGCUGAGCUGCUGUGAUAGAUUCUUUGACAGGAAGAAAAUGAGCCACUUUAGUAAGCUUGUCAAUGACAACGAAGAUAGCAUCAUUUCCACGCUUGGACUUAGGAAAACCAGUCACGAAGUCCAUCUCGAUAUGAUCAAACUUCCAUUCCGGAAUAGCAAGAGGUUGGAGGAGACCAGCUGGUCUUUGGUGUUCUGCUUUCACCCUUCUGCAGACAUCACAUUCAUUCACGAAUUGAGCAAUUUCUCGCUUCAUUCGAGUCCACCAAUACGACUGCUUGAGGUCAUGGUACAUCUUCGUACUUCCAGGAUGAAUGGAUAGGAGGGAAUUGUGUGCCUCAUUCAUGAUGACUUUUCUCAGAUCGCCUUUAGGAACCACAAUACGGUCCUCGAAGAAAAGAGUAUCUUUGUCAUCCAAGCGAUAGCACUUGUAUUUGGAAAUGCCCUUGUCAAUACCAUGUUUCACCUUCUUCACCAUGGCAUCUAGGAGUUGUGCCUCACGAAUUUGAUCUUCCAAAGUAGGAGAGACUAUGAGGUUGGCAAGAAAGCCUUGAGGAACAACUUGAAGAUUCAGCUUGCGGAAAGCUUCACAAAGAUCCAGUUGGAAGGGCUUGAGAAUUAAGCUGUUGCAAUAAGCCUUUCUGCUCAAGGCAUCUGCAAUGACAUUCGCCUUGCCAGGAGUGUAUUCAAUACUUGGAUUGUACUCUUGAAUCAUUUCGACCCAUCGAGUUUGCCUGAGGUUGAGGUUUGGUUGAGUGAAGAUAUACUUGAGACUCUUGUGAUCGGUGAAAAUGUCCACUUUCCUUCCCAACAAGAGAUGUCUCCAUGUUAUCAAUGCAUGGACAACUGCCGCCAACUCAAGAUCAUGAGUGGGCUAGUUCCUUUCGUUGGGCUUCAACUGGCGAGAGGUAUAGGCCACAACCUUCUUCUCUUGCAUUAACACAGCACCUAGACCUUGCAAGGAAGCAUCACAGAAAACUUCGAAUGGCUUGGAUUAGGAGGAGUCUACACAGGAGCUGUGACUAGCUUCUCUUUGAGGGUGUUGAAAGCGACAUCACACUCAGGCGUCCAGACAUACUUGACAUGCUUCUGGAGGAGGUUGGAAAGAGGUUUUGCAAUCUUGGAGAAGUUCUCAACGAAUCUUCGGCAAUAGCUUGCAAGACCGAGAAAACUGCGGAGCUGCUUGACAUUCUGAGGAGGUUCCCAAUUCAGAACUGAAGAUACCUUCUCGGGAUUAACAGCGAUGCCCUUGGCGGAGAUGAUAUGACCAAGAUAAAGAACUUCAUCAAGCCAGAACUCACAUUUGGAAAACUUCGCAUAGAAUUGAUGCUCUCUGAGCUUGUCAAGCACCAAUCGCAAAUGUUUGGCAUGAUCCUGCUUGUUCUUGGAGAAAACCAAAAUAUCAUCGAGAUACACCAAGACGAAAUCAUUUGUGUAGGGGUUGAAGAUAAAGUUCAUCAUGCGAGAGAAAGUUGGAGGAGCAUUGACAAGGUCGAAAG